CUCGCCUUUUGGAUUCUCCCUGUUACAACGUUCACACCUCGAAGACCAUUCGCCAGUUCUCUCUGACCUCCUCUCUUGGAUUUCCCCGAAAACACCACCUAUACCGCUCCGCACUUGGACUCGGGUCCGCCGCUUCCUUCUAGACCCAGACAUGACAGAAGGUUCCGCCUGGUAUACGGACCCAGCGGAGCUGAACCAUCUACAGGCGGAGUUGGGCUCUCGUGAAGCACGCUUGACAGAGUCGGAUCACCUACAUACUCUCCCUGCUCACGGGCAGAGCGCUUGAUUGGGUGACAGCACUCUGGACAAAUGACUCACCCACCACAUAUGCGCAGUUCAAGAGCUGGUUCCUCGCCAUUUUCGGACUGGUUCACCCAGAAUAACAUCUGAGUGAAAAACUUAUGGAUCUACAACAAGAUCACCAGAUCAGAACCCAGUCUCAGAACCUGCCCCAGAAAGAUGCUGUCCCGCUCAGGAGGAAGCAGAGCCAAUACGGUUGGGGCUUGGGCGCCUGUCCUCCACAGAACGGCAGCGAAGACUACA